rnacentral:tRNA from 1 species
AAUCCAGUAGCCUAAUGGAUAAGGCAUCACCCUCUGGAGCUGGGGAUUGGGGGUUUGAGUCCCAUCUGGGUCA